rnacentral:rRNA from 1 species
AGAGUUUGAUUCUGGCUCAGGACGAACGCUGGCGGCACGCCUAACACAUGCAAGUCGAACGGUGAAGGGGGAGCUUGCUCCUCCGGAACAGUGGCGGACGGGUGAGUAACACGUGAGCAACCUGCCUUUCAGAGGGGGACAACAGUUGGAAACGACUGCUAAUACCGCAUAAUGUAUUUUGGCGGCAUCGCCGGAAUACCAAAGGAGCAAUCCGCUGAAAGAUGGGCUCGCGUCUGAUUAGAUAGUUGGUGAGGUAACGGCUCACCAAGUCGACGAUCAGUAGCCGGACUGAGAGGUUGAACGGCCACAUUGGGACUGAGACACGGCCCAGACUCCUACGGGAGGCAGCAGUGGGGGAUAUUGGACAAUGGGGGAAACCCUGAUCCAGCGAUGCCGCGUGAGGGAAGAAGGUUUUCGGAUUGUAAACCUCUGUGGAGGGGGACGAUAAUGACGGUACCCCUUUAGGAAGCCACGGCUAACUACGUGCCAGCAGCCGCGGUAAUACGUAGGUGGCGAGCGUUGUCCGGAAUUACUGGGUGUAAAGGGAGUGUANGCGGGAAGGCAAGUCAAAAGUGAAAACUAUGGGCUUAACCCAUAGCCUGCUUUUGAAACUGUUUUUCUUGAGUGA